rnacentral:rRNA from 1 species
UACCAGCACCCCGAGUGGUCGGGACGUUUUAUUGGGCCUAAAGCAUCCGUAGCCGGUUCUACAAGUCUUCCGUUAAAUCCAACUGCUUAACAGGUGGGCUGCGGAAGAUACUAUAGAGCUAGGAGGCGGGAGAGGCAAGCGGUACUCGAUGGGUAGGGGUAAAAUCCGUUGAUCCAUUGAAGACCACCAGUGGCGAAGGCGGCUGCCAGAACGCGCUCGACGGUGAGGGAUGAAAGCUGGGGGAGCAAACCGGGAUAGAA